rnacentral:rRNA from 1 species
GACAGAGGGUGCUAGCGUUGUUCGGAAUCAUUGGGCGUAAAGCGCGCGUAGGCGGCUUUGCAAGUCGGAUGUGAAAGCCCGGGGCUCAACCCCGGAAGUGCAUCCGAUGCUGCGAGGCUUGAAUCUCAGAGAGGGUGGUGGAAUUCCGAGUGUAGAGGUGAAAUUCGUAGAUAUUCGGAGGAACACCAGUGGCGAAGGCGACCGCCUGGAUGAAGAUUGACGCUGAGGUGCGAAAGCGUGGGGAGCAAACAGG